rnacentral:rRNA from 1 species
CACAGGACCGCAUGUUCUGCUGGUGGAAAGUUUUUCGAUCGGGGAUGGGCUCGCGGCCUAUCAGCUUGUUGGUGGGGUAAUGGCCUACCAAGGCGACGACGGGUAGCCGGCCUGAGAGGGCGACCGGCCACACUGGGACUGAGACACGGCCCAGACUCCUACGGGAGGCAGCAGUGGGGAAUAUUGCACAAUGGGGGAAACCCUGAUGCAGCGACGCAGCGUGCGGGAUGACGGCCUUCGGGUUGUAAACCGCUUUCAGCAGGGAAGAAGCGAAAGUGACGGUACCUGCAGAAGAAGUACCGGCUAACUACGUGCCAGCAGCCGCGGUAAUACGUAGGGUACGAGCGUUGUCCGGAAUUAUUGGGCGUAAAGAGCUCGUAGGUGGUUGGUCACGUCUGCUGUGGAAACGCAACGCUUAACGUUGCGCGGGCAGUGGGUACGGGCUGACUAGAGUGCAGUAGGGGAGUCUGGAAUUCCUGGUGUAGCGGUGAAAUGCGCAGAUAUCAGGAGGAACACCGGUGGCGAAGGCGGGACUCUGGGCUGUAACUGACACUGAGGAGCGAAAGCAUGGGGAGCGAACAGGAUUAGAUACCCUGGUAGUCCAUGCCGUAAACGUUGGGCACUAGGUGUGGGGGACAUUCCACGUUCUCCGCGCCGUAGCUAACGCAUUAAGUGCCCCGCCUGGGGAGUACGGUCGCAAGGCUAAAACUCAAAGGAAUUGACGGGGGCCCGCACAAGCGGCGGAGCAUGCGGAUUAAUUCGAUGCAACGCGAAGAACCUUACCAAGGCUUGACAUACACCGGACCGGGCUGGAAACAGUCUUUCCCUUUUUGGGCUGGUGUACAGGUGGUGCAUGGUUGUCGUCAGC